UUUGCCCCCUUAAAUGUCCCGCUUAUAUUUCAGUGCGUAUCCAUUCACAGUGACGCAAUAUUUUUUCCUUUGCGGUUGCACUUGAUAAAAAGACAAAUAAUAAUGAAUAAUUUCAUAAAUAAUGGGUUUAAGAGCUUAUCGGACCCAGUGGCUGCAACUGCGUGCCCUUAUCUCUCCACACCACAUUGCGCCUGUGUUCCGCUUGCUCCCCAUACUAAGCGCCACACUGGACGUGAUGUGGAAUUAUAUAGACCUCACUUCCAGCUUCCACACAGCACUUAGUGGAUCUAAAACCUCAGACAUGGGUGACCCUCGACAAAAUGGCUCCACACACAGGCCUCCUCUAUCAACAACACUCCGGCAAUGAUUAUCCUCAAUCACUUUCAAUUGUUGCUUGUGUUUGCUCAAAAGAACAACAAUCCAUAUAUUCAAAGAAUUCUAUAGGCUAGUUAAUUGGAUGAUAUAUUAAUGAUAAUUUAAUGUUGAUUCGGCUACUAUAAGCAAUAGGCUAUCCUAAACACACGUUUCAUAUGUUCGUCAGUACGCCCAGUCUAAUAACCCUAUUAGCCUUUCAUCGUUAUAGGCUAGUGUAAUACUGUACAAAUGUGUGGAGCCCGACCCUAUUCAUUAGUUAUAACCUAUAAUAAUCAGGGAGGUACGAAAUGUAGGCCUACACUAUAUUUUUUCCAUUACGUUUUAUGGACAAGAUCUAUACUAACCAAGCAUGUAGGCUAGUAGUGUUUGUAGAAUUAACCGACAGCAAUUAUUUUUUUUAUAAAAAUAUAUAUUUUUAUAGUAGCCUUCCAAAGAAAUAAAACAAAAAACAAGUAUAAAAAACAGGUAGCCUAAACAAGGGACGAAUAUUGCAAUGUAACAAAUUAGUUUGGUAGUCUAUCCUAUAUAUAGGCGGCUGUUAUAUAACGAUAUUGAUACACGGUGAAAUACAUAGGCUGAUUAAAUGGAUGUCUACGUAAUGAUAACGCUAACGUCAAACCGCACGACUAACGGUCUAACGGAAUGACUAGGACCCCUCCCAGUUGAACCCUGUGCUUUAUCUAAACUGAUAUCCGCCCGCCACGGCGGCUAAUAGCUAAUAAGAUCAAGUGAACGCCGAGUUAGACAAAAAUCUAGCUGACAUAUUUCUUAAAACCAAAUGGACAGA
ensembl:lncRNA